GUCUGUGUGGCUUAGUGGUUAAGCUUCUGCCUUCGACUCAGGUCAUGAUCUCAGGGUCCUGGGAUCGAGCCCCGCAUGGGCU
rnacentral:tRNA from 1 species